rnacentral:rRNA from 1 species
UACGUAGGGUGCAAACAUUACCCGGAUUCAUUGGGCGUAAAGAGUUCGUAGGUGGUUUUGUAAGUUGGAUAUUAAAGACCCAGGCUCAACCUGGGGAAAGUAUCCAAAACUGCAUAACUUGAGGCAUGCAGGGGAAGAUGGAACUUACAGUGUAGCAGUGAAAUGCGUAGAUAUUGUAAGGAACGCCAAUGGUGAAGACAGUCUUCUGGGCAUAGCCUGACACUGAGGAACGAAAGCGUGGGGAGCGAACGGG